AACGAACGCUGGCGGCAUGCCUAACACAUGCAAGUCGAACGAGACCUUCGGGUCUAGUGGCGCACGGGUGCGUAACGCGUGGUAACCUGCCCUUAGGUUCGGAAUAACUCCCCGAAAGGGGUGCUAAUACCGGAUAAUGUCUUCGGACCAAAGAUUUAUCGCCUUUGGAUGGGCCCGCGUUGGAUUAGCUAGUUGGUAGGGUAAAAGCCUACCAAGGCUACGAUCCAUAGCUGGUCUGAGAGGAUAAUCAGCCACACUGGGACUGAGACACGGCCCAGACUACUACGGGAGGAAGCAGUGGGGAAUAUUGGACAAUGGGCGAAAGCCUGAUCCAGCAAUGCCGCGUGAGUGAUGAAGGCCUUAGGGUUGUAAAGCUCUUUUACCCGGGAUGAUAAUGACAGUACCGGGAGAAUAAGCUCCGGCUAACUCCGUG
rnacentral:rRNA from 1 species